AGCAGUAGCCGCGGGAAUACGUAGGGUGCAAGCGUUAAUCGGAAUUACUGGGCGUAAAGCGUGCGCAGGCGGUUAUAUAAAUCAGAUGUGAAAUCCCCGGGCACAACCUGGGAACUGCAUUUGAGACUGUAUGGCUAGAGUGUGUCAGAAGGGGGGUAGAAUUCCACGUGUAGCAGUGAAAUGCGUAGAUAUGUGGAGGAAUACCGAUGGCGAAGGCAGCCCCCUGGGAUAACACUGACGCUCAUGCACGAAAGCGUGGGGAGCAAACAGGAUUAGAUACCCCUGUAGUCCCUGUCUCUUAUU
rnacentral:rRNA from 1 species